ensembl:snRNA U4 U4 spliceosomal RNA
AGCUUUGUGCCGUGACAAUAUGGUAGCCAAUGGGUUUAUUCUAGGUGUGGUUAUUGCUAAUUGAAAACUUUUCCAAUAGCCUGCCAUGACAACUUGCAAGAUAGUCAGCAUUGGCAAGUUUUGACAGUCACUAUGGAGA